GUAGGGAAUAUUGGGCAAUGGAUGCAAGUCUGACCCAGCCAUCCCGCGUGCCGGAAGAAGGCCCUCAGGGUUGUAAACGGCUUUUGACGGUGAAGAAUCGACAGGAUGCGUCCUGUUUUGACGGUAGUCGUUGAAUAAGCACCGGCUAACUCCGUGCCAGCAGCCGCGGUAAUACGGAGGGUGCGAGCGUUGUCCGGAUUUAUUGGGUUUAAAGGGUGCGUAGGCUGGAAGGUCAGUCAGCGGUGAAAAGCUGUCGCUUAACGAUAGUCUUGCCGCAGAUACUUCCUUUCUUGGAUGAGGAGGAGGCCACUGGAACGGAUGGUGUAGCGGUGAAAUGCAUAGAUAUCAUCCAGAACACCGAUUGCGAAGGCAGGUGGCUGUACCUUAAUCGACGCUGAUGCACGAAAGCAUGGGGAGCAAACAGGAUUAGAAACCCGGGUAGUCC
rnacentral:rRNA from 1 species